rnacentral:rRNA from 1 species
GUGGGGAAUUUUGGACAAUGGGCGAAAGCCUGAUCCAGCAAUGUCGCGUGCAGGAUGAAGGCCUUCGGGUUGUAAACUGCUUUUGUACGGAACGAAAAAGCUCCUUCUAAUACAGGGGGCCCAUGACGGUACCGUAAGAAUAAGCACCGGCUAACUACGUGCCAGCAGCCGCGGUAAUACGUAGGGUGCGAGCGUUAAUCGGAAUUACUGGGCGUAAAGCGUGCGCAGGCGGUUAUGUAAGACAGAUGUGAAAUCCCCGGGCUCAACCUGGGAACUGCAUUUGUGACUGCAUGGCUAGAGUACGGUAGAGGGGGAUGGAAUUCCGCGUGUAGCAGUGAAAUGCGUAGAUAUGCGGAGGAACACCGAUGGCGAAGGCAAUCCCCUGGACCUGUACUGACGCUCAUGCACGAAAGCGUGGGGAGCAAACAGGAUUAGAAACCCCGGUAGUCC